rnacentral:rRNA from 1 species
GACGAACGCUGGCGGCGUGCUUAACACAUGCAAGUCGAACGGAAAGGCCCUUCUUUUGUGGGUUGCUCGAGUGGCGAACGGGUGGGUAACGCGAGACUUACGUGCCCUUGACUUUGGUAUAACUUCAGGACACGGGAGCUAGGCCCGUAUAGGAUCUCCUGCUUCAUUGUGGUGAUGGGACAGUUUCGGCUGUUGGGGAUGGAGUCGCUGCUUAUCAGCUUUUUGGUGGGGUAGUGGCUUACCAAGGCUUUGACGGGUAGCCGGCCUGAGAGGGUGACAGGCCACAUUGGGACUGAGAUACGGCCCAGACUCCUACGGGAGGCAGCAGUGGGGAAUAUUGCAAAAUGGGCGGAAGCCUGAUGGAGCAACGCCGCGUGAGGGAUGACGGCCUUCGGGUUGUAAACCGCUUUCGCCUCUGACGAGGCGUGAGUGACGGUAGUGGGUAAAGAAGCACCGGCUAACUACGUG